AAUAUGGGGAUCGCGGUCUCCCCACGAGGCGACAGGCUCAAGAAUCGCGUCCUACUUUCAACAAGGACGCAUCAUG
rfam:Sphingomonas koreensis strain ABOJV, complete genome.